rnacentral:misc_RNA from 1 species
UGAGUGAAAAUGGACGGAAGCGAAAGUAAUGUUAGAAAAAAAGUCAGGACAGUUUCAAAAACGAACAGACAAAACAAUUCAGAAAACAAAAACAAAGGAGAGCCGCAAGUGGAGCUAGAAAGUCAGUUUAUAAUGCGGUUUCCAGAGGAAGCUUCAAAUGUUUUAAGAGAAAUUUUACGCAACGGCUUGCCUCUGAAAGAAAGACUGGCCAUAUCUCUGGAUACUGACUUACGAAACGGAACAGUUAGAUUUGACAACUGGCUAUUUCAUACAAAGCUAUUGGAUUUGCCGACAAUCGUUGAGUCCCUGAAAACCAUCGACAACAAGAGUUUCUACAAGACUGCGGACAUUUGCCAGAUACUUAUCUGCAAAGAAGAGGAGGAUCACACGACGGAUGAGGAGUCUCCAAUUCGACAGAAGAAAAAAGAUCCCAUCAAGGUCGACAAAAAGUUCCUUUGGCCUCAUGGUAUAACGCCACCGUCCAAGAACAUAAGGAAAAGAAGGUUCAGGAAAACGUUGAAAAAGAAAUACGUUGAAACACCGGAAAUUGAGAAGGAAGUCAAACGUUUGUUGAGGAUUGAUAAUGAUGCCGUGAACGUUAGGUGGGAGGUGAUUUGUGAGGAUGAAGAUCAGACAAAGCCAAAUAUAGUCUCCUCAAGUGGAACUGUUGAGGUCAAAAGUGAAAAUCACAAUGACGUUUCACAAAGUGUUGAUGUUGCCGAACAUGACAUCUUUGGUGAAGCAGUUAGUGACAGCGAAGACGAUGACGUUCCCAUAAAUGUUACGGACAUGGAUGAAAAUAGUCGCAUGUCUGCGGAUAGUAGAGUCUCGGAUUCCAAUUCAAUGCAAGUUGGUUACUCGUCUGCUAACGUUCCGUCUACUAGUAGCGGUCAAUUGGUAACUGAGUUUUCCAAAGAAAUGUUUGAAACAGAUGUCAUUGAAGACAUCAAACCCGACAUUGAAGACGUAAAAAUACCAAAAAUAGAAAAUUACCAUGACUAUGAUCUUUCUGUGGGAUACCCCUUGUCUCAAAACAUUAUGAUUAGCAAAGAUACCAUUCAAGUUCGGCGAGAGCAACUGCAAGCUGAACUGCGUGAUUUGCAAGAGCAAAGACGGCAGCAGGAAGAAAAAAUAGCAAAUAUCGAAAAUGAAAAGCUGAGAGAGCGUUUCCAUGAGAUCAUUGACAACUUAUUUGCUCAAGAAAAUCAGAAAAUUCAAGAAUUGAAUCAACUUGCCGAAUUGGAAGAUAAUGUGUGAAUAACUAACAAGACUGAAUACACUGAAUUUUUAUGUGAACGUACCCAUUUAAAAUGAUGUAAAAUAUGUGGAACCAUAUGUUUUACGUGCUAAAGUUUGAAAGAUUAAACAUAAAUUUAAAGACGCCACUAAAA